GGAAUAUAAGAACCCGUCUCUUAACUUUUAACUAAAAAAACUAAGAACCGGUUCUUAAAUCUCUUAUUUAAGAGCCGGUUCUUAGCUUUUUUAGUUAAAAGUUAAGAGACAAGUUCUUAUAUUCC
rnacentral:pre_miRNA from 1 species